CUAAAGUAUCCAAAGUUGAGCUCUAAUGUUUCUUCACCCUUGUGUGUGUGAUAUCUGAUUUCCUACAUGCUGGCAGAGCAGAGCGGCAGUUUGUGCUCACAGAUGGUGAUGGUGUGGAAAGACGGUGGUGUUUCCUCAGAAGAACUAGCUUACAGAUAUGUUUUUCAUGACAGAGGCUCUGCAGAGGUUAGACAAAGCAGAGAAAAUAUGUGCUUUACAUUUCACUGUGAUUUACUGGGAUAUUUGUUGCCUGAUGUUUAGCAGGAAUGGAGAAAUGGAAUCAAAGGGAGAUGUUUUUGAUGUUUUUGUAAUGAUAUGGGCAGGAUAUCAGUCUUGGACUGUCUAACCUGCAGCACUGAAUAACCACCACACAUGAGCAUGUUCCUGCAGCAGCUUUGCUUUUGUGUUAAAUGUCAAAUAGCUGGAGAGGAAAUUACACCAGUGUACUGAGAUGUUUCACCAACACGUGCCAGACGCUGUUCCUUCAUGGUGACAUCACCAGAAACAGCCCCGCCCACCUCAGGACUUCGCCAUUAAUCAUGAUGAUUAUAAUGAUGACAGCAAGCGGAACUAAGACUGUAAAAAUCCAUGACCAGAAUGUUUAGAUGCUUUCUAAUUAUUAAUGAAUACUGAGAGCCUCUUUCUGAGUUUUGUCUGUUUUUUUUUUUUUUUACUUCAUUUGUUACUAACAAAGUUCACCAAACUUCACACGGUUUAUAUUCUGUAUGUUCCCAUCUUUACCAGCCACACUCUAACUGCAUUUAAGAAAACAAACCAUAGAAAUCGUUUUUUUUCUCUUUUGCAAUUGAUGAUUAUUCAGUGAAUAUACUGCGCUGCUUCCUUUUAUUGCGUCACACAUUGCUUUAAGUUUUUCAGUGUCCAGUUAUUUUUUACUGUUGUUUGAAUUCACUGUAUGUUUAAACCUGUAGACUGUUUAAUGGACUGCUUGUCUUCCUGUUUGUAACCGCCGCCUGUUUUUGACUAAAGAUUUGGAUUUCUGACUUUAACACA